rnacentral:rRNA from 1 species
UACGUAGGAUGCAAGCGUUGUUCGGAAUUACUGGGCGUAAAGAGUACGUAGGCGGUGACAUAAGUCUGAUAUUAAAUACAGAAGCUUAACUUCUGAACUGUAUCGGAAACUGUGUUACUAGAGGACAAUAGAGGAAGUGGGAAUUCUCAGUGUAGCGGUGAAAUGCGUAGAUAUUGGGAAGAACACCAGUGGCGAAAGCGCACUUCUGGGUUGUUACUGACGCUGAGGUACGAAAGCGUGGGGAGCAAAC